rnacentral:rRNA from 1 species
AAUAUUGGAUAAUGGGGGAAACCCUGAUCCAGCCAUCCCGCGUGUAUGAUGAAGGCCUNCGGGUUNUNAAGUACUUUUGGCAGUGNCAAAAAGGUACCUCCUAAUACGAGGUACUGCUGACGGUAUCUGCAGAAUAAGCACUGGCUAACUACGUGCCAGCAGCCGCGGUAAUACGUAGGGUGCAAGCGUUAAUCGGAAUUACUGGGCGUAAAGCGUGUGUAGGCGAUUCGAAAAGAAACAUGUGAAAUCCCGAGGCUCUACCUUGGCACUGCAUGUUUAACUGGCGAGCUAGAGUAUGUCAGAGGGGGGUAGGAUUCCACGUGUAGCAGUGAAAUGCGUAGAUAUGUGGAGGAAUACCGAUGGCGAAGGCAGCCCCCUGGGAUAAUACUGACGCUCAGACACGAAAGCGUGGGGAGCAAACAG